CUCAUGGAUGUCAUAACAGUAUGCCUUCUUGCUUUUACAUUUUACAGUAAUAAUAGAUCGAUAACAAAUUUACAUGGAGAAGUGAGAACCCUCAGCUAGUUUCAUCCCCAUGACCAUGAUCCAGCAGCUCACCCAACGUAAUCACAGAAAACGGUUUUGACAAUAGUGGCCACUGUUUUGAGAGUGCUCGAGCAACUUGUUGCAUAGUUGGCCGAGAUUGGGGAUUAACACACAAACAUGCAAAUGCCAACUUCACUGCAACCACUACUUCCUCUGCCACUUGAUUCACAGGAGGUGAGGGGCGCUGGUCUAUCACAUCAUUCAGCAGGAAAUGGCCGACCGUUGAUGGUGAUGCAGAUGAGGAGGACGCUGAUGAUAACAGGGAUGAGAUAAGCUCUCCGGGAUGCCUUCCCAUAAUUACUUCUAAUGUCACAACACCGAAGCUAUAAACAUCGGUUUUAUUAUCCACCUUCAUUGUGUAAGCAAGUUCUGCAAAAGAAGAUUAGAUCAUGCUCUGCUCUGCUAAGCAAUUAGAAACGUUACAUAUGACGUAUAGAGGCCAUUUAGAGAUAAGCAAGGCACUAAGAAAAAUGUACCUGGAGCUGUAUAACCAAAAGUUCCUGCAAAUGAAGUCCAAUUAGAUGAGUCUGACUUUAAAAGCCUAGCCGUGCCGAAGUCAGAUACAUGAGCUUCAUAUUCUGAAUCUAACAAAACAUUGUUGCUCGAUAUGUCUUGAUGAAUUACAGGAGGUGAGCAAUCAUGGUGCAUAUAAGAUAAAGCUUUAGCCACGCCUUUAAUAACGUUUAGCCUCACAGUCCAAUCUAAUCUUUCUGCUUCUUCGUCGUUGCAUAGAAUGUUUUGCAAACUCCCCUUUUCCAUAAACUCAUAAACCAAAAAUGAGUUCUUUGCAAAUGAACUGAAGCCAUAAAGCUUGACGAUGUUGUGGUGCCUUAUCUGUGUUAAAGCAUAAAUCUCGCUUUUGAAAGCUUUCAAAUCAGCCAUAUCUCCAUCUUCUGAUGAGUGAAGCUUUUUCACAGCAACAACCCGACCUGUUGGCAACUCAGCCUUGUAAACAGUACCAUAUCCUCCAGUGCCAAUACACUGUUUCGAACUGAAAUUGUCGGUCCCCUGUAUGAUGUGCUCAUACAACAAUUCCCCAUCAUGGCCCCAUAUUGCAAAUAGAUCUUCAACAUCUGCUUCAGGAGACUUGGUUUUUCUCUUCCUCAAUUUUUGGAAAAGAAAAUAAAUGCCAGUAAUAAAAGCAAAUAAGAACAAUAGACUGCUCACAAUAAGGAGUAUUAUGAUCAAAAUAGAAAACUUGCUGGCCUUCUUUUGACUAGCACCGCAUGGCUUGAGAUGAGUGACAUUAUUACCACACAGACCUUUAUUAUUUUUGAAUGCCUCAAAUUGAGCAAAUGCUUUGAUGUUGGGGAGAGGACCUUCCAACUGAUUGUAGGAUAUAUCAGCAACUGUCAGGCUUAUCAAAUCAUAAAACGUGUGUGGGAUGGUGCCAGAGAGAUCGUUAUGGGAGAGAUUCAACGUUUCUAGGUUCUGUAAUUCUCCAAGGUGCGGUGGAACCUCUCCUGUCAACAUAUUUUGACUAAGAUCGAGACUUUCAAGAUGAUGCAUCUUUCCAAUUUCGUCAGGAAUGCUAUCCACAAAUCUAUUCUCGCUCAAGUUCAAGGACCAUAAUUUCCAGAAGUUUCCCAGUUGCUUGGGAACUGGACCGCUUAAGUUGUUUGAUGCCAAGUCAAGGAUUUCAAGAUUGGAUAAGUUUCCUAAUUCCAGAGGAAUACUUCCUGAAAGUUUGUUGUUGCCUAGCAACAAUUUGAACAAUAAGGGAAACAUACCCAAUUCUUUUGGGAUCUUCCCAAUUAGAUGAUUUGAGGAGAGAUCAAGUUGUUGCAGUUGAAUUGCUUUCCCAAGUUGAGGUGGUAUAGCACCAGAAAUUUUAUUGUUGGAGAUGUUCAGGUUUGUGAGCAUGUGGCACUCCCCCCAUUUCUCAGAAAGCUCACCAUAAAAAUUGUUAUUGCUCAGAUCAAUAUAAUUUAGAUUAGGGUAUACACCAAAACUUUCGGCUAUGUCUCCAGUAAGUUGGUUUUUUUCAAGCCUAACUCUGAAUAAGCUAGUGCAAUUUUUCAAGCUCUUUGGAAUAGGACCAGUGAAAUGGUUCAUUUGGGCUGAAACUUUUUCAAGAGCAUUACCAAGGCAUAUCUCUUGUGGUAGGUGGCCAAUGAAGUUAUUCUCAGCAAUUUGCAAAGAUUUCAAAUGAGUGAUAUUAUUCAUUUCUAGAGGAAUGGCACCACUGAGUCUGUUGUAAUGAAGGGCCAAAAAGUUUAAGCCGGACAAGUUUCCAAAGGAUGGAGGGAUCAGACCAGUGAGACUAUUAUUUGCCAACUCAAGAUCAUUAAGUGAUGUCAACAAUCCAAUCUCUUGAGGAAUAGAACCGGAUAGUUUGUUUGUAUGAAGGUACAAAGUGGUUAAGUUCCUCAAGUUACCUAUGGAAUGAGGGAUUGGACCGGUGAGAUUGUUAAUUGACAACGCAAGAUCAUUAAGUGAUGUCAACAAUCCAAUUUCUUGAGGGAUGGAACCAGAAAGCUUGUUCUCAGAAAGAUCUAAAGUGGUUAAAUUUCUCAAGUUUCCAAAGGAUGGAGGGAUCGGACCAGUGAGACUAUUAUUUGCCAACUUAAGAUCAUUAAGUGAUGUCAACAAUCCAAUCUCUUGAGGAAUAGAACCGGAUAGUUUGUUUGUAUGAAGGUACAAAGUGGUUAAGUUCCUUAAGUUACCUAUGGAAGGAGGGAUUGGACCGGUGAGAUUGUUAAUUGACAACGCAAGAUCAUUAAGUGAUGUCAACAAUCCAAUUUCUUGAGGGAUGGAACCAGAAAGCUUGUUCUCAGAAAGAUAUCAAGUGGUUAAAUUUCUCAAGUUUCCAAAGGAUGGAGGGAUCGGACCAGUGAGACUAUUAUUUGCCAACUCAAGAUCAUUAAGUGAUGUCAACAAUCCAAUCUCUUGAGGAAUAGAACCGAAUAGUUUGUUUGUAUGAAGGUACAAAGUGGUUAAGUUCCUCAAGUUACCUAUGGAAUGAGGGAUUGGACCGGUGAGAUUGUUAAUUGACAACACAAGAUCAUUAAGUGAUGUCAACAAUCCAAUUUCUUGAGGGAUGGAACCAGAAAGCUUGUUCUCAGAAAGAUCUAAAGUGGUUAAAUUUCUCAAGUUUCCAAUGGAUGAAGGGAUCGGACCAGUAAGACUAUUAGUUGCCAACUCAAGAUCAUUAAGUGAUGUCAACAAUCCAAUCUCUUGAGGGAUAGAACCAGAAAGCUCAUUCUCAAAAAGAUGUAGAGUGGUUAAGUUUCUCAAGUUUCCUAUGGAUGGAGGGAUUGGACCAGUGAGACUAUUAAUUGCCAAUUGAAGAUCAUUAAGCGAUGUCAACAAUCCAAUUUCUUGAGGAAUAUAACCAGAUAGUUUGUUUUUAUGAAGGUACAAAGUGGUUAAGUUCCUCGAGUUACCUAUGGAAGGAGGAAUUGGGCCUCUGAAAUUAUUAAAACACAAUGCUAGAACACUAAGAGAUGUUAGAAAUCCAAGUUGGGGAGAUAUUACACCAGUAAAACGAUUGAAAGUAAAGUUAAGAUUUGUGAUUAGUUUAGAAAGAUUACCAAUGUUGAUUGGAAUGGUUCCAUAAAGGGAGUUGUUAUAAAGAUUAAGAGUGAGAAGGUUAGGGAGUGAUGAGAAAUUGAGAUUGUGGAGUGUACCUCUCAAACCGCAAUUGUCAAGGUCUAAAUUGGAGACACUUCCUGACCUGUGACAAGUCACUCCAAACCAAUGAUGGCAAGAAUUGCGUCCAGACCAAGAAGAAAGGAAAGAUUGGGUUUGAUUAUCAAGACUGGUCUUCCAUGUUAGAAGAGCAACUGCCUCUUGAUCUUGUUCAACUUUCAAAAGAGAAGUGGUAGGUGUAGAGGCAGAUGUAAAAGUGACAUGGAAUAAUGAUAUCGAGUACAGAAGGAAAAGGAGAAAUAUGAAUAAGCAAGGAGUGAUGAUGAGUCGGGGGAGUAAGGAGUAGGAUGAAAAAUAUUCAAGCACCAUUGUUGAAUUGGUAGAAAUGAAGUUAUUAAGAGGUUUACCUGGAGGGAAGGAUGAAGACGAAACACUUAUUUAUAGACUUAAAUGUGAUACAUCCAAGAUUUCCAUUAGUUGGUGUUGACAUCUAACCAUUUGCUUUGUCUACGAUUAAUGGAAUUGAAAAGUAUUAUAUACAUGCAUGAGCUCAAUUCCACACUUAUUUUAUUUUAUCAAAAUGCUCUUAAUUUUUUUAUUAAAAUUUACACCUGUAAUUACAUAUGAAAUAAUUAAAAAUAUUCCUUUUUCACUCUAUGCACUUUUAAAUAUAACUUGUUUAAAAUUAAUCAUUACAAUUCAUUUUAAGAAGUAAGGACCAAAUAUACCCACGUCAACAACCUAGUUGAUAUAGGAAGUCCACUUUAACCAACAUUACUCAUUGUUUAGAUUGAAUUCUUUUAACUAUUUUGCCCUGUGAGAAAUAAACUCUUUUAACUUUAUUAGUUCUUUCAUAAUUUUUAUCCUUACAAUAUGAACUAUCUGAUUUCUCUUAAUAUUUUAUAAAUCAUUUAUGUUAUAUUUCAAAACAAAAUUAGUUGUCAUUUCUUCUACUUCUUUCCCAGACAAAUGCAUAAUUUGUGGUUGAUGUUUAUUAGUUUUAUUAAAGGUGUUUACAAUUUGUAAGUGAGACCCAUCAUCUAUGAAAAAUAUAGACAUGCUUUUUUUCAGUUGAAAGUCUUAAGGAACUAGUAUUUGGACCACAACAAGAACUAAGGGCUACCAAAUUUUCACUUUGUUUUACAUCCAAAUAAAACACACAAUCCUUUAUGUAUUGUCUAUUCUAAGCCAAGGGGCUCUCAAGGCUUUAAAAUGCAUCUCUAAGAUUAAGAGGAGCCUAACAUAUAUAUCAUCAUGAGCUUUUUUUCUCUAUCCGACGUGAGAUGUCAUAAAAAUUGUUCAACAAGACUAAUGCAUUUGUGAAGCUCAAAAGAAUCACAAAAAUCAAAGGAAGAUUUUUUGGGCAUUACAACAUAAAAGAUGCAGGACCCUUGUACACAUGCAUUUUCCUUAUCAAACAAUUGUCUUGACAAGCCAUUCUAAAGCCCACUUGGCUUGCCAUCACUAGUGAUGGACCUACAUCAUUCAAAUUCUCGAUGCUCUUGAAAAGGCCAUAUGCACUUGAAGUAAAAAGAGCUUUGAAUUUUUGUUAGAUACUUCGUUUUUUCUAUUUGGAAACAUAUUUUUCUUUUCUUUUUUUGUUCUUUUUUUUUAAUAGAACGUUUACCCUCCUAGAGUGUAAAAUCCUCUAUUUUCUGUUCAAAUUUCAGCUUUGCAAUUAGAGUCCUAAAUUCUAAACCUUGUCUGGGUUUUCCAGUUUUGUGAAAAAUCACAUCAUAGGGACCCAACAAGAUGGGAUUUGAUUCAAUGUUAGAGACAAAUUUUGGAAAAAUCUACAAAACCCUCAACAGUUGUGGCCAUACCAUAGCUCAAGACCAAGAUGGGAAUUUACAAUCUAAUAAAGCUGAUGAAUGCUUCAUAGACGUGAAGGUCCUCACAUUCUUGAUCGGGAAGAACCUAGGCCGAAAGUAAUCAGCAAAGGAUAAGAACGCCAGGAUCAUUUCACACUGAAACACUUUACUCCAACUACUCUGGUUAAACGGAUUCAUCCUAGAGAAAACUAUGAAGAUAGCAGCCUUGUUAUAGACUUAAAUGUGAUACAUCCAACAUUCCCAUUAGUUGGUGUUGACAUCCAACUACCUCCUUGUCUACAACUAAUGGAAUUGAAAAGGAUUAUAUGGCUCAAUCCCAUGCUUAUUUUAUUUUAUUUUAUCAAAGUGCUCUUAAUUUUUAUUAAAAACACUUGGAGUGCUUCUUCUUGGAUAAACACUUGAUGAGUAUUUCUUUUAAAGGAUAAGAGAAAUAUGAAAAAUACUAAUAUUUCAUAAAAAUAUUCAUUUUACAAAAAUACAUUCUUCUAGUAUUUUUAUUAAAAAUAAUUUUAGAAAUACUCUUACCAAAUGGUGGAAAAUUCUUAACAUGAGUGCAAAUUAAUUUUUAUUUUGAAAAAGUUUUACUAAAUGGAAAAAAAUUCUUCCUCGAAUUUUAUGUGGAUAUGAAUUACUUGGAUAAAAUUGGAGCUUUGUCCAUAUCAUGUUAGUGACUUAUUUUGUUGAGAUAUAUAGUUAUAAGACAAAUCUCACCCAAAUAUCUUUUUUUCGUAGAAGACAAAGCUCAUUGCCUUGAAUGAUAGGAUCUAGAGAUGCACAAAAGUGUGCUUUUUUAUUUAAAAAAAUGUGUUCUAUGACUAGCAUGUAUUUCAAAUUUAAGUUCAACCAAAAAGACCGCUCAAUCUCCUAAGAGCUCUUUAGAGAUGAAAACCAAUUUUAAUUAUAUCAAAUAAAAAUAUAUAAUUAUUAUUUCUUAAGAUGGUAUUGUUAAAUUGCCAAUUUUUAAAAAUUUUAUUAUGGUAAAAAAUGUUAACAUUUUGGGAAAAAAAUUAUUACUAUUUUUUUUUCAAACUAGCAGUCUUGAAAUAUUUUGUCUUAAUUAUAUAAAAAAUGAUAAUUAUUUUUGUAUAGACAAUGAUAUUUAAUUAGUAAUUUUUAGAUAUUCUUAGCAUGUAAAAAGAAGUAGACUUGACAUUUAAUAAUAUUUUGAUACCACUUUAAUCAAAUAUAUUAUUCAAAGUUAUACAUCUAGCUCUAUUAAAUUUAAGUUAAAUGAAGGUAUAGUCGAAAUUCAUAUUGACAAACAAAUGUUACCUAAGUGUAAUUCCUAUGACAUUGUAGUGAAGCAUAAUUUUUUUUUUCUUUUUAAGUAGAAUUAUAUGAAAACUUAAUUUAUUUUAAGCAUGCAUUAAAAUAAUGAUUUGUCUUUUAUUAAUUAAAAAACUAAAAAAAAAAUUGUACUAUUUAUUAUUAUUAAAAAAGAUUUCUUACUUUCAAUUAAAAUUACAUAUUUACAUAAGAAUAUAAAGUUCCCUUUCCAAUUGCAUGUUUUUAGUCUAGACAUUUAUUGUCUUUGAUAGGGUGGAAAAGUCAUUGCAUUCUUGAUUUUUAUUAACAAUUGUGUGGAAAAGUUGUUGUUUUCCUAAUUCUUGUCAAUAAUUGUGUUCAAAAGUCAUUGCAUUCCUAAUUCUUAUCAACAAUAGUUUUUAAGGAAUCUAUACCUAAUAUUCACAUUAUCAAUAGUAUAUGAAAAUGAUCCUAAUUGAUGUGAGUGGUCUAAUUAGAGUGAAGUAUAUAAGAAUAUCAUUUAUUAAAUCUUAGUAUUAAAAUAAAAAGUAGCAAUUGAAUCCAUUAUAUCAAGACUUGAGGAAUGUGAGGAAUCUAAAUUAAUUUUCUUUCCCUAUAAGGUAGAAUUUGCAUUGAAACUCCAUCUACUUUAAUUUAAGGGAUAGCACAAACAAAGUCGUAGGUGUGACAUGCUUUUAUGUAAAAACAAUUUAAGAGUGGUUUGUGCUUUUUAUAAUAGGUAUCAUGAAAAAGAACAUGCUCAAAAUGUAAAUUUUUUAUUUUUUUAAAUAAUAUUACAUUAUUUUAAUUCAAUUUUCAAGUUAAUUAAAAGCAAAACUUAGAUCAUGGAUUGGACAUAAUGACAAUAAAUUUCUCCUAUUAAUAGAUUUAACAAUAAAAAAGAUGAGUCUUUUUUUUUUCAAGUUAAUUACUAAUUUCUAAAAUUUUUAUUAUGGUAACAAAUGUUAAUAUUUUGAAAUAUUUGAAAAUAUGUUAAUUAUCAUUUUUUGCCAAAUUAUUAAUCUUCAAAUAUUUUUAUUUUAAUUAUAUAAAAUAAAAACAAAUAUAAUAAUUAUUUUAUUACAAACAAAGAAAUUUAAUUAUUAAUUUUUAGUCUUAGCUUAUAAAAGGAAGUAGAUUUAACACUUACAAGAACACCACUUUUAAACAAAUAUGUUAUUCCAAGUUAUACAUAUAGUUCUAUUACAUUUAAGUUGAUGCCAGUGGUAUGAUCAUAGUGAUGUAUAUAUUAGUAUUAAAACAAAAAGUCACAAUUGAGUCUUUUGUAUUUAGACUAAGGAAUAAUUAUAACAAUGGUGAAACCUAGAUUAAUUUUUUCCAUCUUUAUAAGGUAAAAUUUGUAUUGAAACUUCAUCUAUUUCAAGGCAUAGCACAAAUGAAGUUGCAAGGAUGACAUGCCUUCAUGUAGAAAUAAAAUAGAAUUUCAUUGUCUAAAUAGGAUAUUUUAUUAUUAUUGUAAACAAAUUUUUUUACUUCUUCCUUUGUUAGCAUCAAGAACUCAGAAAAUAUUUGCUUCACAAUGUUGAGCAUUGAUGCAUCUAUUUAAUAGUGAUUUGUGCCUUUUAGAUUACAUAUUUUGAAAAAAGAUAUGUUCGAAAUGUAAAUUUUACUAUUAUUUUUUUUUUCAAAUGAUACUCUAUUAUUUCAAUUUAAUUAAAAGGGAGACUUAGGCCAUGGGUCAAACACAAUGACAAUAAAUUUGUCCAGAUGGAUUUAACAAUCGCAAAUAUGGUUUUCUUUUUUUUGAAUACAUAUAAAAGAGAAUUUAUGAUCUAGUUUUUUUAUAGACUUAAAAGAACAAAAAAAAUCAAUUAUUGAAUAUACCUACCAAUUCAAUUACCUUAGAAAAAUUAAAACUUGUGCAUAUUUGUUGCUCAGUUUACAAUUCUUAACAAAUUAAUAGAAAAGAAUUAAACAUUCAAGGCAAAAAAAAAUAGGUCCAUUCAAUUUUCCUUUGAAAUGAUAGUGGGUUGUUUUAAUGGGAUUUGAAGUUUGGGUCAAACUUGAUAUAAUAUUGUUUUACCCUUGAAAUUGAUAACGAUAAUGGGUCAUGUAUAAUGGGAUUUGAAAUCCAAAUCUUAGUGGGAUAUGAACUCUAAGUCAAAUAAUGAUAAUUGGUUUGUUUAGUGGGAUUUAAAAUUUGAGUCUUAAUGGUCUUCGAAGUCAUCAAAUAAUGAUAAUUGGCAUGUUUAGUGGAACUUGAACUUUGAGUUUGAAUGGGGUUUGAAGUUUGAGUCAAACUUGAUAUAAUAUUUUACCCAUAAUUGGCCAUCUUUAAUAGCAUUAGAAGUCAUAGUCAAACUUGAUGUAAUGUUUUACCCUUGGAAAUAAUAAUGAUGAUUGGUGGGAUAUGAAGUCCAAAUCUUAGUGGGAUAUGAACUCUAAGUCAAAUAAUGAUAAUUGGUUUGUUUAGUAGGAUUUGAAAUUUAAAUCUUAAUAGGAUUCAAAGUCGUCAAAUAAUGAUAAUUGGCCUGUUUAGUGGGACUUGAACUUUGAGUCUGAAUGGGGUUUGAAUUUUGAGUCAAACUUGAUAUGAUAUUUUACCCACAAUUGGCCAUCUUUAAUAGGAUUGGAAGUUAUAGUCAAACUUGAUAUAAUAUUUUAUCCUUUGAAAUAAUAAUGAUAAUUGGUGGGAUAUGAAGUCCAUCUCUUAGUGAGAUAUGAACUCUAAGUCAAAUAAUGAUAAUUGGUUUGUUUAGUGGGAUUAGAAAUUUAAGUCUUAGUAAGAUUCAAAGUCGUCAAAUAAUGAUAAUUGGCAUGUUUAGUGGGACUUGAACUUUGAGCUUGAAUGGGAUUUGAAGUUUCAGUCAAACUUGAUAUAAUAUUUUACCCACAAUUGGCCAUCUUUAAUAGGAUUGGAAGUCAUAGUCAAACUUGAUAUAAUAUUUUACCCUUUGAAAUAAUAAUGAUAAUUGGUGGAAUAUAAAGUCCAAAUCUUAGUGGGAUAUGAAAUCUAAGUCAAAUAAUGAUAAUUGGUUUGUUUAGUGGAAUUUGAAAUUUAAGUCUUAAUAGGAUUCAAAGUCGUCAAAUAAUGAUAAUUGACAUGUUUAGUGGGACUUGAACUUUGAGUCUGAAUGGGAUUUGACAUUUGAGUCAAACUUGAUAAUUUUACCCUUAAAAAUAAUAACAAUAAUUGAUCAUAUUUUAUGGGAUUUGAGAUCUUAGUCAAACUUAAUAUAAUAUUUUAACCAACAAUGAAAAAUAAAUAAGCAUAUGAUACGAGCUAAGAACUCAUUUCAAAAGUAGGGUCAAAAAUGGUUUUAAAUGCUUAAAAAGUGUGUUUUGCUAUAUAAAAAAAAAUCGUUUUAACGUUAGAAAAUAUAGAUACUUCUUCUAAAAGCCAUUACAAGAAAGACAUGAAAAAUAUUAAAAUUUCAAAUAAAUUUUCAUGUUUGAAAAACAUAUUUUUCUUGCAUUUUUAUUAAAAAUAUGUUCAAACAUACUCUUACAUGAUCUACUUGAGUUCCUAAAAUAAUUACAAACUCUAUUUAAUUUUUAUUUUAAAAUUUUUUUACCUAAGGGUGGAAAAUUCCUCCUCAAAUUAUACAUGGAUAUGAAUUAUUUGGAUGAAAAUUGGAGCUAAUAUCAUAAGAAUGACCUAUUUUAGUGGAAUAUAUAGUUAUUAUAAGAUAAAUCUCACUCAACUAUCUGUUUACUUAUAAGACAAAGUUCACUGCCUUGUAUAAUGGGGUGCAAAAAUACAUAUGAGUGGACACUUUUGACUUAAAGUAUAAUGAGAUGUAAAAAUACAUAUGAGUGAACACUUUUUACUUAAGAUCGUGUUUCACAAUAACAUGUCUUAAAUUUAAGUUCAAAGAAAAGUACCACUUAAACCUCCAAAGAACCCUUGAACAUAACAAUUGAAAAUAAAGAUAAACUCCCUCAUAUGAUAAUAAAAAAUAUUUUUCAAUUGUUAUAAAUUGUGAUCAUGUUACUUAUUAAGUUAAAUAAGAAGUAAAAAGGAUUUUAUAAAAAUGGUAUUUUAAAUGUGAAGUAAAUUUUAAAUGUGCUAAAAAUUUUAGGUCCUCUUUGGACGUGUUUUCUAAUGCUGGUUGAAAAGUUGUUUUUAUGUUAAAGAACAAAAGAUAGUUAUUUAGUAUUUUAUAAAAAUAAGGAUGUUUGAUAAGUUGUUUUUUCAAAAAAUAAAAAUAAGAACUUUUUUGGAUAAGUUGUUUAUAAAAAUAAUUUUCCUAUUUUGAUUUUGUAAAAACAUUAUAAAUUUAAUUUAUGUAAUAUUAAUUAAAUUUAAUUAAAGUCUUAUUGAAAAUAAAAAAAUAGUUUUUAAUUACAAAUAAAUUAAAAAAAUAAAUAGUUUUUAGUAAAAUAUGAACAAUAAUAUUAUAAUAAAAUCAUAAAUAAAAAAAAUUAUAAAAAAAUAUUAUUUUAGUAUAUUUUUUAUGCUAAAGCUCCUAAUGGGCUUCGAAGUCAUCAAAUAAUGAUAAUUGACAUGUUUAGUGGGACUUGAACUUUGAGUUUGAAUAGGGUUUAAAGUUUGAGUCAAACUUGAUGUAAUAUUUUAUCCACAAUUGGCCAUCUUUAAUAGGAUUGGAAGUUAUAGUCAAACUUGAUAUAAUAUUUUACCCUUGGAAAUAAUAAUGAUAAUUGGUGGGAUAUGAAGUCCAAAUCUUAGUGAGAUGUGAACUCUAACUCAAAUAAUGAUAAUUGGUUUGUUUAGUGGGAUUAGAAAUUUAAGUCUUAAUAGGAUUCAAAGUCGUCAAAUAAUGAUAAUUGACAUGUUUAGUGGGACUUGAACUUUGAGUCUGAAUGGGAUUUGAAGUUUGCGUCAAACUUGAUAUCAUAUUUUACCCACAAUUGACCAUCUUUAAUAGGAUUGGAAGUCAUAGUCAAACUUGAUAUAAUAUUUUACCCUUUGAAAUAAUAAUGAUAAUUGGUGGAAUAUGAAGUCCAAAUCUCAGUGGGAUAUGAAAUGUAAGUCAAAUAAUGAUAAUUGGUUUGUUUAGUGGGAUUUGAAAUUUAAGUCUUAACAGGAUUCAAAGUCGUCAACUAAUGAUAAUUGGCAUGUUUAGUGGGACUUGAACUUUGAGUCUGAAUGGGAUUUAACGUUUGAGUCAAACUUGAUAAUUUUACCCUUGAAAAUAAUAACGAUAAUUGGUCAUAUUUAAUGGGAUUUGAGAUCUUAGUCAAACUUAAUAUAAUAUUUUAACCAAUAAUGAAAAAUAAAUAAAUAUAUGAUAUCAACUAAGAACUCAUUUCGAAAGUAGGGUCAAAAAUUGUUUAAAAUGCUUAAAAAGUGUGUUUUGCUAUAAAAAAUAAAUCAUUUGAAAAAAAAAAUCGUUUUAAAGUUAGAAAACAUGAAUAAACACUUAGAUAUUUCUUCUAAAAGCCAUUACAAGAAAGACAUGAAAAAUAUUAAAAUUUCAAAUAAAUUUUCAUGUUUGAAAAACAUAUUUUUCUUGCAUUUUUAUUAAAAACAUGUUCAAACAUAUUCUUAUAUGAUCUACUUGAGUUCCUAAAAUAAUUACAAACUCUAUUUAAUUUUUAUUUUAAAAUUUUUUUACCUAAGGGUGGAAAAUUCCUCCUCAAAUUAUACAUUGAUAUGAAUUAUUUGGAUGAAAAUUGGAGCUAACAUCCAUAUCAUAAGAAUAACCUAUUUUAGUGGAAUAUAUAGUUAUUAUAAGAUAAAUCUCACCCAACUAUCUCUUUACUUAUAAGACAAAGUUCAUUGCCUUGUAUAAUGGGAUGCAAAAAUACAUGAGUGGACACUUUUGACUUAAAGUAUAAUGGGAUGUAAAAAUACAUAUGAGUGGACACUUUUUACUUAAGAACGUGUUUCACAAUGACAUGUGUCUUAAAUUUAAGUUCAAAGAAAAGUACCACUUAAACCUCCAAAGAACCCUUGAACAUAAUAAUUGAAAAUAAAGAUGAACUCCCUCAUAUGAUAAUAAAAAAUAUUUUUCAAUUGUUAUAAAUUGUGAUCAUGUUACUUAUUAAGUUAAAUAAGAAGUAAAAAGGAUUUUAUAAAAAUGGUAUUUUAAAUGUGAAGUAAAUUUUAAAUGUGCUAAAAGUUUUAGGUCCUCUUUGGAUGUGUUUUCUAAUGCUGGUUGAAAAGUUGUUUUUAUGUUAAAGAAUAAAAGAUAGUUAUUUAGUAUUUUAUAAAAAUAAGGAUGUUUGACAAGUUUUUUUUAAAAAAAGUAAAAAAUAAAAAACUUUUUUGGAUAGGUUGUUUAUAAAAAUAAUUUUUCUAUUUUGAUUUUGUAAAAACAUUAUAAAAUUAAUUUAUGUAAUAUUAAUUAAAUUUAAUUAAAGUUUUAUUGAAAAUAAAAAUAGUUUUUAAUUACAAAUAAAUUAAAAAAUAAAUAGUUUUUAGUAAAAUAUGAACAAUAAUAUUAUAAUAAAAUCAUUAAAAAAUAUUAUUUUAGUAUAUUUUUCAUGCUAAAGCUCCUAUGAAAUUUUAGGUAGAUACAUGUCUUCUAGUGGAUAAUUAUAGUCUUUUUCAACUCGGAGAUCCUUCACGACAUGAGCCACCAACCAUUCCUCAUACAAAAUCUUGCCAAAUUAACCUUGAGAAUAUUCCUCAACAUCCUAUUCCUCUUCAUCUCAACCAUCCUCUCCCUUUGUCUCCUCCACCUCUCUUGAACACCACUCCCCUCCGCCCCAAUCUCCCACCCUCUCAUCUCAUGGUCCAGGUGCUAAAGUCAUUGAAUACAUCUUGUAUUGUAUUCAAUCCCAUGUUUUUCUGGCCUCAUAAAUUCUAAACCCUAUCUAGGUUUUCCAAUUUUGUGAAAAAUUAUAUGGAUUAAAUUCAAUGUUAGAGACAAAAUUUUGAACAAAUCUGCAAAAACGCUCAACAGUUGUGGUCAUAGCUCAUGACCAAGAUGGGAGUCUACAAUGUAAUAAUGCUGAUGAAUGAUUCAAAGACUGCUCCAACUAGAUUUUGAAAAUUGUCUAUUUUCCAACAUUUUUGUAUUGAGCUAUUCUCGUAUAAACGGAUUGAAAACAGUUUUUUGAAAAUUUGUUUAAAAAUAAGAGGACUUUUCAUAAAAAAAUUCAGGGUGUUUUAUUAGAGCAAUAGGAGACAUGGAGAAUAUGCCGAUAACUUUUGCAGUGUACAUCAAUGCAUAAUACUUUCAUAGAGAAGAGACUUUUAUUUAAAAAAAAAAAAAAAAAAUUGACUCCUAAUAGAAUUUUAUUACUCCAAACAUUCAGGAGCUAUUCUUAAAAAUCGAUUUGUAAAAAUUAUCGAGCAGACCCACAAUCUGUUCGAGUAACAAAUGGAAAACUUACCAUUUGAUCUUAUUCCAACUACAAUUUAAAAAAAGAAAACAAACAAACAUAUAAAUCCUUAGACAGGACCGAGCAACAAGCAUUGUGGUUUUGUUGUCUGUGGGUGGUCAAAUUUAUCAGUAACCCAAGACUUCCAUGCUCACAAAAGCUCCAUUUUAAUCAAAGGUUGGUGAGAAAAUUACUAACAGGCUCAAGUCUCAUCUUAAAUAGAAGGAAAACAAAAACAUUAUUUACAUGCUUCACCAAUGAAACAUUCAAGUUAUGCAUUGAUAACCAUAAUUUCUGGGGAUAUAACGCUGUUCAACAAGAUUAAUGCAUUUGUGAAGCUCAGACGAAUCGCAAAGAUCAUAGAUGAAAAUCUCUCUAGCAUUACCAAAUAAAAGGUACAACGAAGAAAAAGUUGAUGUAUGUGAUCUUGCUUGGGACUGAGGUGGAUCAAUGUUCAAUAUUUUCCUAAAAUAAGCAGACUAAUUAGUGUAAGAAAUAUUGAUUCAUAUAGAACUUUAACCACAAAAUUCAGAAUUAACUAGGAAGAAGAUGAAAAUACAGAGAAAACUUGAGGGAAGGAGCUAAGACACAGAUGGAGGGAUUGGCUUCACAGCAUUUUGGAUCCGCUGGAAUGCCACUCUCACUCUUUCCUUGAGGCCUUCAUUUUCGCUCUCAACAUUCCCACUCUGUUUAUCAAGAUGCACCACAUUUCCAUCAACGCUUAUCACCAGGUUCCCAUUCCCUUCCAACUUCACAUCUCCAAACAGAGAAACAAGGAGUGCGUGGAUAACCUUUUCUGCUUUCUUCCCAUUUUCUUCUUCAGUUUUCAUGGCCUCUGAUUCAACUACUACCUUGGGGAUCUCAAGACUGAUAUUUAAAACUAGAGCCACAAUGGAGUCAGAGACCAUGUCACUAAUUGGAUCUGAUGUCCAACGCAAUGAAAUAUGCUUCUCCGACUCAUGCUUCACUGUCACCCGUUCAUGGACUUGAAAAGCUGGAACCUCAGAUUCUUCAUCUGGCAAUGACUCAACACUCUCAUAUAUCUGCUUCAGCCUGUGCUUUAUUACACCAAAGGCACCAGUGUAAGGAAUAGUAAUCCUCUGGGUGACAUUUGCCGUGGAUAGCUGUGAGAAGACAUGGAGAUCAUCAGGUGCCAUUAUCUGAUAAGUGAACCCUUUCUUUACCAGUAAACCACUGACAAUUUCACCAACUUCUGGGGUCUUUUCAGCCAGCCUCUCAAUGGUUUUUGCCAUUUUUUCAGAGUUGAAAUACAUUUCAACUGACUGACAGUUCUUUGGGGAAAUAAUUUUGGUGUUGCAGUCAGCAAACUGGGUGAUAAGCUUCUGUUUGAGCCUCCCCAUCUCAUUAGCUUCUCCAUGAACAAGAAUGAUGUUAGGUGGCAUGAGCUCCUUCAAGAAUGUACUUGUCUGUGCAAAAUCUGCAUGGGCAGAGAAAGAAAUGUAAUGGACCUGCAUGUUGAGGGGAGCAGUAAGACCAUUCAUUAAAGUAACUUCCUUGGGUUCAUUAAUGAUGGUUUUUGCCAAUGUCCCUCCCACGACAUACCCAGGUAUAACACAUGCAUUUUUCUUAUCAGAGCACCACAUAUCAAACAGUUGUCUUGACAACCCACUCUGAAGCCCACCCGGGCUCGCCAUCACCACUGAUGGACCUACAUCAUUAAAAUUCUCAAUGCUCUUUAAGGGUGAUAUGUGCUUGAAGUCAAAGGGAUUCGAAUUUGCAAAUUGGUUGCGGAUCCUCUCAUUCAUGGAAUUGAUAUAUGUCUGGUAAACAGCCAUGCACCUUUUUGCAAGGGGGGAAGCAUAAAAUAUGGGAUGUUAUGGAGCUCAGGAUGGUUAGACCAAUACUCAUCAAGGAUAAGAAGGAGUUCUUGGGCACGACCUAGAGCAUAUGCAGGGAUUAGAACACGGCCCCCUUGAGAAAUGGUUGAGUGGAUGACAUCUGUGAAGCGUUUUUCUCGCACAUGCCGAGGCUGAUGGAGUUGGACACCAUAAGUGGAUUCAAUUAUGCAAAUAUCAGGGCAGAACUGUGGAAUCUCAGCAGCACGGAGAUGACGAUCUUCUUCGCUAGAAUAGUCUCCAGUGUAAAGUACUCGGACACCAGCAAUAUCAACCAUAAACAUGGCAGCACCAAGGACGUGGCCAGCUGUGUAACACCAAAAUCGUAUACCAUUUACUUCUAAAGUCUGAUGGAAAUCAAUAACCUGCAGAAGGGAGAUUUAAUUACAGUUACAGGAAGAUUAAAUGAGAUAAGAAAAUUAAGCUACAUAUCUAAAGUCAAUUGUUGUAAAUGGCCCAACAUUCUGCAAUAGAUCAGGAUUAUAUGCAACCAAUAUUUUGGCAUAUGAGAUACACACACACACACACACACCAUAUUGCUUUUUUUAGUGAACAAGUUUUAUAUUUUAUUAGAUUAGUUAUGUAACAAUUUUGAAACUAAAUUCAGAAACAAUAGAAAAAAUGUUGUUGUGGAACACAAAACAUGAAUUAAUAUUAGAAGUAUAGCCAUUUAAAUCUUAAUAGACUAAUUCCUACUAUGUUAGUUUUAUUUGUCCAGAACUGAAGACAAAACUCAUCUGCUCUCAUGGAAGGUGAAGUACAGAAAGCCCACAGAUGUUAUAGAGAUCUAAAACAGUAGUACUUACACUCAGGUAGAAUCUAUGAUUCAGGUAUGAAUGUCUAUGGUAGAAAGAUUAAGGCUUUAGGACAAGGUAGUAGACAUUUGUGGCACUAUUAAUUUCAAAUAAGAGUCCCAAGAUAGAACAUUAGAGCUAUUCGCAAAUUUAAAUAACCAGAUUUAAGCUAAUCUGUGAUACAUGGACCAUUGUGACCAUAACUUUUGUGUUUUUUUUUUUUUUUUUGAUAGUUAUUGUAACCAUAACCUUUUUUUUUUCCUGAUAGACAUUGUGACCAUAACUUUUCAGGCCUUUAAAAAAGGAAGUGCAAGAGAAGGAUUUCUCAUCCUUCCCUACUUUACAAAACCUGAUUUAAAAAUGGAAGUGCAACUGUGCAAGAGAAGGAUGAGAAAUCCUUCCUUACUUUACAAAACCUGAUCAAAACAGAGGAAAAGAAAUACUCUCCAAUAAACAUCAAAACAACUCGACAUUGCAAUUUUAACACUUCGGAUCUACAAGUCGACAUCCAAUCAAGUUGAGUUAUGUUGAGAAAUUCAUGCCUUAAAACAGAUAGUUACAUUAAAGGCACAACCAUAAUCAUAAAUCCAUUUACUGAGAAGAAAACAAUGCUGAGAAAAGCAAUGGGAACUUCAACAUAAUCAAAGAAAGUGAAUGAUUGGGGUUUUUCUGAAGGAAUUUUAGCUGAUAGAUUCAAUUAUUUGUAACCUCUCGCACUCUUACAUAUGAAAGUACAUGUUCAAGUUUGUGUAUGGACACUUUAUGCAGAGAAUGGGUAGGUCCAUUAACCCUUUCAUCCCUCCAGAACCCCAGAAAAGGAACCUGUAAUGGCCAACGGCCUUUGUAUAGAGUGAUCCCUCUAAUACAGCUACAGAGAAUACUCUCAAAACCAUGCUUAUAGUAGUAGAUCACUAACUAUUGAUGUGCUUUCAACCAUUUCAAGAGCACUCAUCAGCCAUGCAGUCAGAAUUUCAACUGGAGUAAAGUUGGGCUCAAGAAAGUCUACUCAAAGCCGAAAAAAUCUCAAGGCCAGACAAGAGCCCAGGGACAGAUUUCAAUUUUAGGAAGCUAUUUCAUACGAGGAAAGGAAUCUCCAAGAGUUUAUUCCUUGAGAAAAAAGAAAUAUUAGCAAACGGAAUGAAGAAGCCAUUGAGAAGCAGGAGAUAUUCAGAUAAUGACUUAAAAUUUGGGUGGUAGAUGUAGUCUCAUUACUUUAAAAAUAUAUCUGCAGUGCUCCUAAUAGCACCAGAUAUUGAUAAGAGAAGGUGCGGAUGGAGUACUUGCAGCUGGUCCCAGUCAAAUCUUUAUAUGCUUUAACAAUAGUUGUUUGGUCACUUUUUCUAAGUAAGGCCAUUCAGGACAGAAUUCAUUCAAUGAUUUUUUUUUUUUUUUUUUUGGAAGAAAUAUGUCCAUACCCAGGUAUAUAGUACAAUAUAAAAGAACAAUCAUGAUAUUCUCUAAAUUUCAUUUCUCAAUUCAGCAGAUCAUUAAGUUAUAAAAACAAAUAACAUUACAAUAUUCAACAAGGAAAAAGAAUAUACUGUGUCACCAAAAGGACAUCAAUGGUUGAAGGAUCAAUCUCAUCAAAGUAUGGCAAAGCAGCCAUGACUGAGUAUGCGGGAUGAAUUCCACAGUCAAACUAUCAUCACAGAACAGGAACAUAAUAGAAACAAACAAAUUAAAAAAAAUAUCGAAAACAAAGUAUAAAAACUAGCAACCAAAAUAAACGAAUAAUGCAUUAUGGUAUACCAAUAUGGUUUUCCCUUUAUAGGACAUGUAGACACAGGAACGGCCCACUUCAUUUCCAGCACCUAGAGGGGUAAUAAUCAGCUGGUCUCCUCUUGUUAAUGAGGAAUCUGGUCUCUUCAAAGACUGCGAUGGCCCUGUAGAUGCCAUUCUUCAACUGAACAAUUCUCAGACCCCUUCAAUUAACACCACUCUAUUUUCAUGCAAAAUGCUCUGCAACCGAUUAAAAAAUACAAAAAAAAGAUUCAAAAAAAAAUAAAAAAACGCUUCAUCAUAAAUAAAAUGAUACCCAAAAAUAAAUACAAUUCCAACAAAAGACAUUUUUUCUCUGGGAACUCCAGUUAUUUUGGUGAAUAUAUUUCUGUUAAGCUUGGGAAAAAUAAAUUUUGACUUUCAGUAAAAUAACUCUGUACAGUUGAAAUUUAUAUUUCCCUGAGAACAUCUUCAAUAGAAAUAACCUAUCUCCCCAAUUGAAGCUCAAAAUUCAAAAUCCAGUACGAGAAAGCACUGUUUGUUUGCUGAGAAAUUGCAGAACCAAAAAUUUAAAUCUUACAGCUCUCAGCACUCAUCCCCCUAGAAAGCAACAUAAAAGCGCAAGAUUCAAUUGCUUCAUUUCCCUCUCUUCUCCUCACUUUUCUCAGCAACCAAACACAACAACCUUAUAUAAAUAAGGAGAGAGAGUGAAGUAGAAGAAAGAAGAAACUCGAAACUUAUAAAAAAAAAGCAUAGUAUGAAGGCAAUUAUAAGAGAUUCAAAAUUUUCAACUCACUUGGUUGCAUUCCCCAGGACUUUCUCGGGAACCAAACAGACGGGAGGAAGAAAAAACAUAAACUUCAGAACAAAGAAAGAAGAAAUGCAUAGAAAAUAGCAGAGGGAGAAAGUUUCGAGAGAGCUAGAGAGGUUACAGUUAUGAAAUGAUUUCAGACCAUGCAGAGGAAGAGAUUGAACUAAAACCCCAAUUUUGAGAAGAUGCUUCCCUCUUUGCCUCACCCUCUGAAAGAUUGAUAAAUACCGGGCUGGAAUGGUCGGUCCGGACAGUCUUCAAGGAGUUCUUGAAAAAGAAUCUGAAGUACAUCUAUGAACAAUCACAUAUGCAUUUGGGCAAUCUAUAGGUUCUCCAUCUGCUCUCAUCGCUGAACUACCACAUUCCUUCAGAUAAAUGGACCUGCCACCUCUGGUUUAUUAAAGACUAAAACAAUUUCCGUUGAACAGGUCUUUGCAUAAACCUUCUUUGGGGCAGGAGACUGAUGUGGAGUAUACUUAAGUCGUUUUCAGAUUAGUAUUUGAAUUGACCUUCUGAGGGGUGCCAAGUGCAAUUCACCAAAAUCCCAAACUGGAAUUAGUCCAUCUCCCAUUUCCUUUGAAAUACUCAACAAUUUAGUUUCUUUUUCUAUCAAGUUUGCCUUCAACUUUUCAAUAUCAGCCUACAUUUUCUCUAGUUUCGUCUGUGGUUCAGCUUGUAUUGGACUGGGUCUAGAUUUUGCGUGUUCUACAUGCUCAUAAGUGCUUCCAAACUACACCAUGUCCUGAACAUAUUCUUUCUGAUACCUGACCUUGGCAUCAAGAGCAGAUUUUAAAUGUCCCAUCUUUAAGACCAGAUUACUACUUAUGAAGUAGUCUAGGCUCUCCUUCAAACGGCUGAGACAGUGAGCAUUGUAACCACUGCCAAAUACUUUGUUAGUUGCUGAAAGAAAGCUUGGGUUCCUAUCUGAAAUUAGAACCACAUGACAAUUCAUCAGUAAAUACUUCAGAUGCUCUAGGAACCACAACCAGUUUUCUUCAUUAUCAGUAUUAACCACCCCAUAAACUAGAGGAUAUUAGUCAUCAUCUACAUCUAAGGCAGAUGCAGACAACAAAGUGUCUUUAUGUGGCCCACUCAAGUGAUAGGCGUCAACAAACAGCAACUCCCUGGAAUUGACUUCAUAAGUCGCUUGCACAUCCAUGGAAUUAGCUUGUAAGAGUCCUCUGGCUUUCCAAAAUUCGCUGUGCUGGAGAAAGUCCAAUAGUGAGGGCUGCUGCUGAGCGAAUGCAAUAGUUCCUUUACAUGCAGUUGAGCCACCAGCCUGUUAAUUUCUCAGCUCAUGGCGUAGGUGAACAUUAAGCUGCUGAAGAUAGACUGGCUCUCUACAUCAGAUCACAUUGAUUUGUUUGGAGUUGCCCAAUUUCUUUGGCAAAUCUUCAUUUUCGUGUCUCGAAUUGUGGUUCAGUUUCCUUACUUCUUCUACCUCUGGACAUUCCAAAACAAAACUUGCAAAGGCUUGAAUGGCUUCUAAACUUUCUGCCAAUUCAGAAUUUUCCAACUGCAGGUUCACAUUAGAGUUCUUCUAACUCCUCUGCUUCAGCAGCCUCAAAGCAUUCCUUUUUAGCAGCUUCACGCUCUUCUGUUGCAAAUCCUCUUUGAUCACUCUCAAUAAUUACCAAUAAUUUUUGCUUGGGUUGAAGAACAAACCUUCUUGGUGUAUACCUUAAAGGAAUCGCAGAUUCAUUAAAUGUUUCACCCAGUCAUUCAAUAGUGAAGACUAUGCAACCAUGAAGGAAAGUGAGUCAAUGCAUGAACUAAUGGGUCGGGCCUUGUGGUGCCUAAAGUGGGCCUAGGUGGGCCAAAGUAAACCUAAGUGAGCUUAGAAAAGUGCUCUAGUGACCUAGAGUGAACUAAGUGGAAUUUAACUUAAAGUGCACCCAAAGUAAAGCCUAACCUAAACUCAAAGGAUGACUAAUGUCACAAUGAGAAGCCAGAUAAACCCUCAACCAAAGUCUCUAAGGUGGCUCAGAGAAGGCAAAUUGCAUAGUAGUAAUUAGCUACAAAUGAACCAUUGUAAAAUACUAAACGAGCCCUCAAUAGAACAUGUGUUAAGGGGACAAAAUGGAGGGUCUACAGUAAUAGAACAAAAAUUCUAAAAUCUUCAAAUCUCAACUUUUAAACCAACAUAUCAACCAUAAUAUUUUUGUCUGAGCAAUUUCAAACUAAAACAAUAGCUAACAAUAAUUAAAUUCUAAUAUUUAACAAAAUCCCAAAAAGAGAGUUUAAACAAAUAUCCUAAUAAAGCCAAAAUUUUCAUUUCUCACCCGAACUUAGGGUACUUGAAAAAUUAACAACAAAGGGGGAUGAACUCAAAACUCAAUAAAAAACAUUAAUAUAGUUUCAUAGAUCAAAUAUUUUCAUUCAUGCUUCCAAAUAGGAGAUAUAGGGUAUAAUCAUUUUCAUAAAACGUUUGAGUUCAAACAUGCUAAUACAUUUUAAACAGUUCAACCAAACAUUUUCAUAUAUAUCAAAACCAUUUCAUAUCAAAUCCAAAUCAAAUACAUUUCAAUUAUUUUUAUUCUAGUUACCAAACAAUAAAUGGCGCUUAGUUAAGUGAAACUUUACAAAUGGGUAGUUAGCCUCAAAUUUGUUCCUUUUAAGGUGGACAGAAUCAAAAGUAACCUCUAAUCAAAGCCCUCAAGGUUGGGGUCUAAAUCAAUUAUAUUUUUCACCACAAAAAUGAAAAGGUCAACUAUUAUAUUUCGUUGACAAGGGCCGAAAAGUCAAUUAUUAUACUCCAUUGAUAAGGACCAAAAAAAUUAAAAUCAAAUUCUUUGUUUUAUUUAUUCAAACUUACGGAAACAUAAGACCUCCAUAUAUUCUAUUAUAAACAAAAGAAAUGUUAUAAUAUAUUUUUCAUGCAAAAAUAUAUUUGAUCCAUACAUAAAAGCAAAAAUAACAUUUACAUAUAUAUAUAUAUAUAAUUAUCUUCUUUUGCAAAGUUUGUAUUAAUUUCUCUUAGCUCAAAAGAGUCCUAAAAAACCUUGGAGAGAAAUAAUUAUGGAAAAUCUAUUCUUCACUUAACAUAACAUAAUAGAAAUAAAUAUUACUAUUUAUCUACAAUUUAAUUAAUCUAUUCCGUAUUUAAAUAAAAUUAAUAAAUUUCUAAUUUGAUUCUAAUAACACAUUACUAAUUUAAUUAAAUUGCAAUUUUAUUUCAUUAUAUAUAUAUAUAUAUAUAUAUAUUUUACUAAAUCUCUCAUUCUAUUUAUUACAUUAAACCAUUAUUACUAUUAUCUUAUUUAUUAACCUAGACCUAAAUAUUAUUAUUUUAUUAAUUAUCAAAUUCAAUAGCCACCCAAACCAUUACCCACUUGUCUCCGGGACACACAAAACCAAUAAAACAAAGCAAGUUCUUUCAAUUGUCAUCAUCAUUAUUAUGAUGAUUCAUUAUUUAUUUAUUUAUUCUUGGUUUUCCAAGUUCUUCCUUCCAUCCAAUGCACAUGCCUCUUUUUUAUUCUUUAUUUCUUUCUUAACCCUAACACGUCUUUUUUUUUUUUUUUACUUCUAGGAAUGUGCACACAAAUACAAUGCCUCAAAACCAUAAAUACAAGUAUCUAUAUAUCACCCCUCCAAAAUCCAGAAAUCAUGUAAUUCUUCUUAUUAUUUAUUUAUUUAUUUUCUUUUCAAUCUAAAGUCUCCACUAACGACUUAUUUAUUUAUUAUCUAAAUCUAAAAUUUCUUUUCUUCCUCUGUUUUUUUUCAUUUUAAAUUUAUUUAUUUAUUUUUCUAUUCCAUUGAAAUUUUUGAAAUUUUCCUAUCUUCAUCAAUAAAUCAACCUAUACUUGCAAUUUUUCAAACAUUUUGAUCUAAAAGUUUAAUAAACAAACCCUAAUCUAGAUUUAGAUUUUCCAAAAAAAUAUCUAAUAUGUUUUAAAGUAACUAACGAAUCUAAAAUAUUAAUCUAGGGGUUAGAAUCUUAUCGGAAAAGUAUGGACUUCAAACCUUAAACCUUCAAACCUUCACCCCUAUGUUCACCAAUUCUCUAAUUUUGGUUAAUAAGGUUUUUGGAAUAGAGAAGACAAGAAAAAAAAAAUCUAAUUCAUACCUAGGACUAUUAAUGGAAAAAAUGACAUUUUUCCCCUAAUGAAUUUAAUUAAUUUUUAAUUUACUAUUUUACCCUUAAAAUUAAUUUGGGGUGUUAUAGUAUCAAUGGAUGAAAAAAAAAAAUCAAAAGGCUUAGGUCAUAAAUUUUAUUUCAAAAUCAUUUAAGAAUUAAUUAAUUAAAACUCAAUUUUUAAGUUUUUAAAUUUUAAAUUCCUCCCUUAUUCAUUAUUGGAUUGAAUUCUUUUAACUAUUUUUCCCUCUUUUAACUUUAUUAUUUCUUUCAUAAUUUUUAUCAUUAGAACAUAUAAGCUUUCUUGUUUCUCUUAAGAUUUUGUAAAUCAUUUAUGUGAAAUUUUAAAACCAAAUUAGCUAUCAAUAUUUCUUCUACUUUUUUCUCAAUCAAAUGCAUGGUUUGUUGUUGAUACUUAUCUUGGUUCAUCUAUAAGUGAGACCAUACUUUUUUUUCCAUUUGGAAGUCCUAAGGAAUCGACAUGUAGCCUAUAACAAGGACUACCAAAUUAAUCAUUUAUAGUUUACAAUAAAAUAGAAUGCAUAUUAAAGGGGCUCUAGACUCGCAACUGUGAAUAUAUUGUUUGUUCUAGGUCCAACAGGUUUUCAAAAUUUCAAAAUAUGUUUACAAGGCUAAGAGGAGUCCAUACAAAUAUAAUAUAUAUGUAAAAUUGCAAGGUUAAACGUUUUUAGAGAAACACUUCAAUUAAAAGCAUUUCCAAUAAAAACACUUUCAAUCGAUCAUUAAUUAUCUUUAGUUAAUUAUCAUCAAUUCCUAAAUAUAUAUUUAUUCUCCUUAUCGGGGAUUUUACUAAAAUGCUUUUUUUUUUUUUUUAUCAAACUAAACUAUGCAAGUGUAGGAAGUAGUUCUGUUUAAUAUGCUCAUAUGCUCUUUAGAUCAUGUUCUCCUUGAGUUGCUUGUUUCUUCUUAACAAAAAAAAUACAGUUUGUCACCCAUUUUGAAGGGAGAUAAUAACGAAAAACUCAUAGUUAAAAAAAAAAAAAAAAAAAAGUGAUUUCAACAGUUUUGGGAAUUAUCACUCUCAACAAUCUAUUAAAAAAUUGUAAAGAUUACAUGUUGGCUCUCCCCAGCCCCAAGGACGCUUACUGUCACAAGAAACCCAUAUCCUAUCUUCCACCCCAAGCCUGCUUCUGCCACUCAAAGUCCAAUCACAAUAUUCAGAGCUCCCAAGAUGAGAGCAAGUCUCCCUACCAAGUGAUGUUACUAGUUCCAGUACUUGCGCUGUUUGGAUGUCUUGUCCGGCCUUAGAAUCAAUGCCAUUACCCAAGAAGAAGAAAACUUAGUUUUCAGCAUGCUUGAAGAAAUAUAUUUAGUUAAUGUCGAGUGAACGCCCAGGGAGAGUGAAAACAAACCUGAAGAAUGCCAAGGAAAAACACCAAGGAUCCGAGGGGUCUGUGAAUCUUGAAUUUGGGAAUGCGAUAAGACUCCAGUCCAUUGUAGAGUGUCCUUCCUGCGACGACAGUAGCAAGACCCGGAAGAAAACCCACAAUCUGGAUCGAGAUAUGAAGAUAAAACCAUUGAGGAUCAUGAUGCUUGAAGUAUCUAGGGAUGAUUGCCCCAGAUGGAAGGAGCACGUCCCAUGCAAUUAGGCCCAUGUCUCCAUGACGCGUCUCCAAAUCUCCAGUGUUAUUGACACCAGAGUUAUAUCCUGUGAGACACACAACAGAAAUUUUCCAUAUCAGACUUCAAAGAGUUUUAUCUGAAGCUCCCACUUUAUUUCCUAGAUAUAAGCCCCUCACGUCUAGAAUGUAAAAUCCUCUGUUCUCUGUUCAAAUUUCAGCUUUGCAAUUGGAGUCAAUACAUCUCGUAUUCAAUUCAAUCCUCAUCUUUUUAUGGCCUCCUAAAUUCUAUGACCCAGUUUUGUGAAAAACUACAUCAUGGGGACCCAAGAGGAUGGGAUUUGAUUCAAUGUUAGGUACAAAAUUUUGGAAAAAUCUGCAAAACCCUCAACAGUUGUGACCACAGCUCAAGACCAAGGUGGGAAUUUACAAUCUAAUAAUGCUGAUGAAUGCUUCAUAGACUGCUCUACGAAACUAGAGUUUGUUAGAAUGCCUGUCCUUUGUUGAAAGACAUGAAGAUCCUCACAUUCUCGAGCAGGAAGAACCUUGGCCGAAAGUAGUCGGCAAAGGAUAAGAAGGCUGGGAUCAUUUCACACUGAACUUUACUCCAACUACUCUGGUUAAACGUAUUCAUCCUAGAGAAAACCUGUGAAGAUAUUAACCAUGACAUAGACUUAAAUGUGAUACAUCCAACAUUCCCAUUAGUUGGUGUUGACAUCCAACUACCUCUUUGUCUACAACGAAUGGAAUUGAAAAGGAUUAUAUAAAGAAUUUGAUAAAUGUGUGAACUUCAUAUUUUCAUUAAAAUCAAAUCGUAUAAAUAAUACAUUGAAGCAAAACAGAAAGCAAUAACUAUAUCCUAUAUUUCAGCAAUAUUCAAGCUGACCUAUUCUUAAAGAAUACUAACAGAAAAAUAUUUGGAGGACUACAUUCAUCCCAGAGAAACCCUGUGAAGAUGGCAGCCUUGUUUUAGCUCUUUGAAUAGAGUGAAAUAACAUAGCAGAAGCUGAUCAAACCUGGCAUGGAGGGCCCCCCAUUAAUAAAAUCAACUUGUCCAAGCAUCCGGUGAUGCAGAUUGUUUGGCAGCCUCAGAAGUAGAGACACGGUCAUCGGCAUUCCCGCACUCCUCCACGACAGCCCUGCAUCACAACCAAUUUACGGGUCUAUUACAAAUGAGAGAGAGAAAAAGAGAUUUUCAUGUUAAUGAAAUCAUUCACCUUAGGAUCGAACUGAAACGAUAAACAUCAAUGAUUCCGGAUGAUUGAAUUUGAGUGCAUCCCCAGCAGGCUCUUCAUAUUCAGUAGCCUACUUGGUUACUGAUACACCUGCAAAGUUGAAAGCAACAGGAGGUAAAAUCAUCACAUUCUUUAAUAAAAAUGUCAUCACAUACGACUCUUUAGCUGAUAUAGAUACAAAUGAAGUACCUGCUUGAGGGGCCCUUCAAAGGAAAAUAUAUUCCAAAGGUUGCAAGGACAUCACAUGGUGGCAGAUCAUGCUUCUGAAUAACCUGCACAUUCCACCCUUCAAAUAUAUUAGAAAAAUAAUAUAAUUGUAGUUUUAUAUUAUAAUAGAAGUUCAAAAAAACAAGAGAAAUUAUGCACGAUUGCUUGCGCCCACCUCAUGGAUGUCAUAACAGUAUGCCUUCUUGCUUUUACAUUUUUCAGUAAUAAUUGAUCGAUAACGAAUUUACAUGGAGAAGUGAGAACCCUCAGCUAGUUUCAUCCCCAUGACCAUGACCCAGCAGCUCACCCAACGUAAUCACAGAAAACGGUUUUGGCAAUGGUGGCCACUGUUUUGAGAGUGCUCGAGCAACUUGUUGCAUAGUUGGCC
rnacentral:lncRNA from 1 species